CGCGUAGGCGGCCUCCGCAAGUCAAUUGUGAAAUCUCCGAGCUUAACUCGGAACGGUCAACUGAUACUGCGGGGCUAGAGUGCGGAAGGGGCAACUGGAAUUCUUGGUGUAGCGGUGAAAUGCGUAGAUAUCAAGAGGAACACCUGCGGCGAAGGCGGGUUGCUGGGCCGACACUGACGCUGAGGCGCGAAAGCUAGGGGAGCGAAC
rnacentral:rRNA from 1 species